GCCAUGACUCUCUCAAAAUUUCUUCUUGAUAAGACAUAAACAUCUAUCUGUAAUAUAUUUAGACCAGAAGGAAAAGUAAACAACAAAAGAAAAAGGGUUCUAAUUGCCUGCCUCUGCAUCUCCCCGUAGCUUAAGGAUGGCAAACCCAAUCUCUGAGGGCAAUGGCCCCCACUGGCACGUCUGCAAGUGUCACGUAGGCUAGUCCAUUGACAUAGAGGCCUAGGCAGUCUAUUUCUCAGGGGUACAAAAACGUAGUUGCAUACGGAGCAGUACAGUCAAGUGGUCAACAGGCUUCCUGACAUUGGGACCAGGAAGUGCUGCUGGGAACCAAGUUUUAGGUUAUGAACUUGAAUGAUUCUAUGGGCCUCUGUGGCCUGUACCCUUGACUUUAAGGAAUUGUCUGUGUAUUCAGCUUCGAAGAGAAAGUUGGAAUUGCUCAUCAAAGAAUUGGAAUAAGGGUGACUUGAACCACAAGUACAUCAGAACUCUGGCCUUCUUGAGACAAAAAUAACUGACAGAACCACAGCAGAAAAAGGAACAGGGCGUCUUAUUCAGAGCUAGAUCGCCAUGUAGGCUGCAUAAAAAGGAAGAAUCAGAAUACAGACUUGUCAAACAGCAGAUUGCGCCUGCAAACAAAGGACAUAGUUUAAGGGCAUGGGGUUUUAGAAAGGAAUGUUGGUCUCUCAUUUGUCUUUUCAGCUGGAUCUGCAUACAUGGGUAAUAUCACCACAAUCAACGAUGUCAUCUUUGAAUAGGGAGGAAUAGAGACUCACACAGAGUUUGCACCAGGGAGAUCCUACACACAGAUGAACAAUUCAUUAGUCAUUCAGAACGCAAAGCUGUCGCCAAAUUUUGCUCUGUAUGCUAAACACAAUACAAUGAUUGAAAAUAAAAAGAAAAUAGAAUCAAGACAGUGAGGAAACCUUUUAGGAGGCGAUGGGAAUGUCACAUCAACAUAUUGUCAAGAUUCAGAUGAAUAUCUCCACAGUAUUUUCUAUCCCAUGAGACUUGAAAGUUAGUCUGCAUAUAGGUUUAACAACAGUGUUAACUAUUCUCCAUUCCAAUUUUACUCAAUCUACAAAGCACACCUCAAGCCCUUUUUGCUUCUCUUCAAAGCUUUAUUCUUAUCUGAACUUUUAUCAUGAUUUAUUCCAAAUUAUGAUAAAUUGCAUUUUCUUGAAGAUUAAGUCAACAUGCCUCUCUGUUCUGCAUGUAUUUUCAAAGUAGUUAUUAUCGAUAAUCAGAUUUUCAUAAUAAAAUACAUAGUCCUUAA